rfam:Salpingoeca sp. ATCC 50818 unplaced genomic scaffold supercont1.1, whole genome shotgun sequence.
GUCCCUGUAGCUCAGUUGGUUAGAGCGCAGUACUUAUAAGGAAAAUACCAGUUAAUUUUGUGCUUGGGAAAUGCUGAUGUCCAGGGUUCGAUCCCCUGCUGGGACA